rnacentral:rRNA from 1 species
GAUGAACGCUGGCGGCGUGCCUAACACAUGCAAGUCGAACGAAGCGCCUUACCGGAUUCUUCGGAUGAAGGUCUGGUGACUGAGUGGCGGACGGGUGAGUAACGCGUGGGUAACCUGCCCUGUACAGGGGGAUAACAGCUGGAAACGGCUGCUAAUACCGCAUAAGCGCACGAGGAGACAUCUCCUUGUGUGAAAAACUCCGGUGGUACAGGAUGGGCCCGCGUCUGAUUAGCUGGUUGGCAGGGUAACGGCCUACCAAGGCAACGAUCAGUAGCCGGUCUGAGAGGAUGAACGGCCACAUUGGAACUGAGACACGGUCCAAACUCCUACGGGAGGCAGCAGUGGGGAAUAUUGCACAAUGGGGGAAACCCUGAUGCAGCAACGCCGCGUGAGUGAAGAAGUAUUUCGGUAUGUAAAGCUCUAUCAGCAGGGAAGAUAAUGACGGUACCUGACUAAGAAGCUCCGGCUAAAUACGUG